GUGCCAGCCGCCGCGGUAAUACCGGCAGCCCGAGUGAUGGCCGAUCUUAUUGGGCCUAAAGCGUCCGUAGCUGGCUGCGCAAGUCCGUCGGGAAAUCCACUCGCCCAACGGGCGGACGUCCGGCGGAAACCAUACGGCUUGGGACCAGAGGACCCGAGGGGUACGUCGGGGGUAGGAGUGAAAUCCCGAGAUCCUCGACGGACCGCCGGUGGCGAAAGCGCCUCGGGAAGAUGGAUCCGAUUGUCAGGGACGAAAGCUUGGGUCUCGAACCGGAUUAGAUACCCUUGUAGUCC
rnacentral:rRNA from 1 species